UCACUGGCACAGCCUACUUGCCUGGGGAGAGAUGUCCCAGAACAAAGCACCAGGUUGGAUAAUCAACUUGCCAAGAUGCUAACUAAACACCUUCAGAUGUACCAGGUAGAAGGCCACAUGUUAUCAGCCCUCAAGAAAUGUCCUUGUUAUUAUAUUUUCUUUUAUUCUCCUUACCACAGCUCCAUGAAGAAGGUGUUGUCAAUGCUGGCUGCUUGCUAAGGAAAGUGACAUGCCGGUGACAUUUAAUUGGAGUCAAGAUCAUAACCAAGGAUCACUGGGCAAAAUUCCUGUGCUCUCUCCAUAUUGUGGGGUAGAGGAUGGGGGUAGAAACCAUGGCUGAGGACAAGCAAGCAGAAUGGAGCCAAGCUUAGGACUGGUCCAUGGCACAAAGAAGAGACGAGAGUUAGAUCAACCCUUAGUCUGGCUGUUGGAAGGAAGACUUGGAAACGUCAAGGGUCCAGAAGAGGAGGGCGGGGCAUUUCUGGGGAUGGUAGAAGCGGGGAGGGACCAGUGUUCCGAGCCCCGCCUCAUUUCUGUUGCCCCGGGAAACCCCGGGUUGUAACAAUAACCUGCUGACGCGCUCCUGGGAGGAAUCCUUUGAAGGCUGUGGGCGGGGCAGCCCCGCUGUGCACCAAUGGAAGCACUCGGGAUCCGCCCCUACGUUGCCCUCCCCGAGCCCGGCAGGGGGCGGGGCCGCGCCAGACGUUUCUCGCCUGCUCCCUAGAGGGCGCUGUGGCGUGCGGGGCUUCGGCGGGGUCGCCCUUAGCGGGAGCUCCACGCCCCCCACAGUCA
rnacentral:lncRNA from 1 species